GAAACAAGAAACAAUUAUUUGAGUGAUUUCAGAUGUUUCGUGGUGCCAACACUGAAAACACUGAUACCCACUGCUAAAAUGCAGCCUUUAUGAAAUACAUGUAGUAAAGUGCCAGGCCUCCCAGGCUAGUAAUUGCUUCAGUCCUGCUCACUGAAAGAGUUAUUCAAUGUCUGUCGAUAUGGACCAUAGUUGUUAAUGCCAUUGCCAAGAAUUACAAAGUGAAAUAAAGAUAGAUCCCCUAUCUGAAGAUGUAAGAGAAGGAAGCAAUAGACUGAUUCUGCCCCAUCAUUUUCAUGGAGAGCAAAGGUAAAGAGCUGACUGUUUCCCUUUGUCCUAAGCCUGUACUUAAUAUCUUGAUUGGGUAUCAAGAUUAUUUAUAAGUGGAAUUAUUUUCUCAAUGUAUUCCAUUUUCCUUGUGGCUGAUCUAAGUGUACAAGCUUAUUGCUUUGUUAUAAAGCUUUGAUUUUACCUGGUUUAGUUCAUGAGUCUGACUCUUCAGCUAGAUUUGUUUUUUUGUUGUUGUUGGGGAAUGAUCAGGGAAAAUAGGACAAAUGCUAAACUAAUUAUAGACUAUGUCCGCUGAGAAAUGCUUUUAUUAUAUAUGGUGGAGAGAGAAAAGAAUGGGGAAUAACAUUUACAUAAUCAUUAAUUGGUAUGUAUUUUAACCACACAUUUCAGCUUCCAAAGUCUUGCUUUCCAAUCUUCUAGAAAUAGUAGCUAAAGGCAACAUGUACUGUGUUAGUCUAAGUAAUUGGAAAUGAACAGUUCAUAACUAUUUUAUAAAGGUGUCGCUUAUUUAUGGGAUUGCAUAAAAAAAAUUUAGAUUCACUACAAGGAACUGCUCCCCCCCCUUCUUUUUUCAUAGAAUGGAGAUGUUACAGUAAAUAACAGGAAAAUAAAAGGCCUUUUAUUUAGGCAAAGAUGUACAGUGACUUGAGGCUUUCUAGCUCUAUCAAUUUUCUCAGUGGGAGGAGAGAUUCUCAAGAAGAGAAUUAGCAAUUGAUGAGCCCCACUGGCAGGCUCAGUGGGGACAACCUAUGGAGCGGAGAGGCUCACCUAUGGGGCAGAGAGGCUCUGAAUUCUAUAGAACUUUUAAAACUGAAAACCAUGCCUUUAUUGUGUCCUACAGAUGAAAUAAUGAAAUAUAAAGACAAUUUUUACUACAGAAUAGAUGACUACCUUCUCUUAGGAGCACCUCUGCUCAGAACAACUGGUGGGGCUGGCAUCAGAUCUACUAAGCAAAGUAGAAGAAUCCUGAGUUUCUUAGGGAAGAGUCUUAUCAAAGAGGAAGAGGCACCAUCUGGCCAACUAAAUCAGGUACUUAUUCAUUUAGUUCAUUUACUUAAACCUACUCUGGCUCAAACCAGUCCAUGCUUCCUAUUAGGAAGAAAUGAUUCAGAAACAUGCAUUUAAAUUAGAAUUAAAACCUGGAAUUUUACUUGUAUUGAUUGGGAAACUCACCAUCAUUUUUAUGAAAGUGAUACAAAAUAUGUCAUUCACUUGCUAAAUAUAGUAGUAAAAUGUGUGGAUCAAAUUUUACUUACAGUGAAUUCUAAAGAACUUGUGUCCUGAUCUGCUUUUUAAUAGCAGAAAUUAUGUUUCAUGGAAUGGGUGUUAAAAUGGUAUUUCAUGAAGCUUGGAAGUACUUUGGCUAUAUUGUUUAAUUUUCUUAUUAUUAAGGUUUGUUUAUUUACUUAUUUUUUUAAUUAUAAAAGGUAUCACAAGAAAUAGGAUUUGGCUUCCAUUAAAAAAAUUGCUAGCUGAGAAAAAACAUGAUUUUUUUGGUUUGUCCCUAUCAUGCUCACCUCUCUCACUCCUGCCGAAAGCUAGUCUGAUGCUGUCCUUUCCUUCUGCCCUGAUAUACUACUUUUGGACUUUCCAGACUUAUUUUAGAUUCCUUCUGGGUACUGUUCGAAGAACUUUGUAUCAACUCAUUAAAGCCACACAGCAAUUAUUACCUGUAUUUUACAGUUGAAGAAACCUAAUCACAGAUGAAGGAUACACAGCUUACAAGCAGGCACACUUGGAAACAAUUCCUGACAGCAAGACUGGAUUCCUAGCUCAUUUCCCACACAUCUGGAUCUGUCUUAAAAGUUAUACACAGUGCACAUGAAGGACAGCUCUGCCACUGGGCAGGAGGGGGCCCUUUCCUCCCGAUGAAGAGUGAUGAGCAGAGACUAGACUGGAGCCCUGAGGUGGAUGUGGGGAGGCUGGAUCUAGGACAGCAGAGAAAAGUUUGGGAUGUUGUGGUACCUAGCUGGCCCUGCUGCCUAUCAGUUGCAGUCUGUGCUUAUUUAUAUUACCUGGAAAGCUGGCAGAAAGCCGCCCAGAUACAAAAGUAACAGCUUGCGCAAGACUACUUGGUAGCCUAUGCAUCCAGUGUGACAACUGGAGAAGUGGCUUGUAUGCAGAAAUGUAGCCUGCAGCUUGCUGUUGUUAGGAUCAGGCUGAACAGUCUCAAAGGGGACACUUUCCUGGUUCCAGCCCACUGUCUUUCCUCACCCUUCCAUCCUAGGUCUCUCCUAUUACCUCUCAGUUCCUAUUUUAGGAUGAGUUCUCUGACACCUUUGGGCUUCUGCUUAUAUCAUUCCUUCUGAUAAGAACAUCCCGCCCACCUCACACCCACCUCCCUCACCUGGCCAUCCUGUUCCUGGAAAACUGGAGGCCCCCACACACUAUAUCCAGCCUGAAGAGCUCUUUUGUUUAGCCAGCAAUGUGGCUUUAAAGUCAUGAGACUUCAUUGGAUAAAUCCAGCUUGUUUUACAAACUGGAAGAUGCACCAAUAUUGUGACCUGCUCACUGCCGCAUGGCAAUAAUGAACUGGAUUGAAGGAGCAGCUGUCCCCAUUAGAUGAGACAUAAACAUUAAAUUUUUCCACAAUCUUCACCACUCCCCAUUGUAUUUUGGCUUUAUACCUCUGGUACACUGUACCUUUUCUGAAUUUCUAUUUUUAUUCUAAUUAUACUGCUAUCAAAAUGAUUUAUUUGCACAUUGCUCUUCCUUAUUAAACUUGGGGUUAAAUCUG